AACAAUGCACAUGCAUUUGCAAUAUGAUUCUAUAGUGAAAAAACAUCACCAAAUGGACAUGAUGAAAUCAACACAACGAGUGAUGGAAAGGAGCAACUAUCACUGCCAGGCCAUCCCGAGUUCAUCUGGCCAGUCAAUUUUGCAUUUCUGCAGGAUUUUUGAGCAUGUCAAAUUUCAUAUGGUAAAUGCCCAUUGAACCAUAUUGCAAAUGCACGUGCACUUGCAAUAUGAUUGUAUAUGAAAAAACAUCACCAAAUGGACAUGAUGAAAUCAACACAACGAGUGAUGGAAAGGAACAACUAUCACUGCUCGGCCAUCCUUUGUUCAUCAGGCCAGUCAAUUUUGCAUUUUUGAGCAUGUCAAAUUUCAUAUGGUAAAAUACAACUAAAGUAUGUUGAUACAGUUCUUAUACGUGUGUAAUUGACACAAAAUUUGAAAGAAUUACAAAAAACGGUCCAGAAAGCACUUUUUUAAGGGUGUGUGAAGUUUUUUACAAAAUUUUGACAUUUUUGACUUUUGACUUUUGACUUCCUAUGAAAUCAUAUUGAAAAUGGACAAAACAUAUUACUUAUGAGCAUGUAAAAAAAAAAAAAAUAUGAUGAUAAAAUUGGACAAAAGUAUAUUCAUACAGUUCUUACACAUGUGUAAUUGACAAAAAAAUCGAAAGAAUUUCGAAAAACGGUCCAGAAAGCACUUUUUUUUAAGGGGUGAUAAGUUUUUGACAAAAAUCAUUUUUUCAAAAUUUUGCUUUUGGAUGUUGACUUGGGUGACAUUUCCAAUAUGAAAAACCAUGGUGGAGCGGAUUCGCCACCUGUUGAAUUUUUAAAGUGUUACAACUGGCAAUUGCCAUAUGGCAUUUGCAAUACACUUUGCAUGAAUCAACGCCGAAUUGGGUGGUAUUGGACAAUGUGUAUAUGGUUUGUCCGAUGCCAAUGACUUCCCAUUCAUUUU
ensembl:lncRNA